rnacentral:misc_RNA from 1 species
UCCGGUUUGUCACCGGCAGUCUCGCAUGAGUCCCCAACUAAAUGCUGGCAACUAAGAUCAAGGGUUGCGCUCGUUGCGGGACUUAACCCAACAUCUCACGACACGAGCUGACGACAACCAUGCACCACCUGUCACCGCUGUCCCCGAAGGGAAAGCCAUGUCUCCAUGGCGGUCAGCGGGAUGUCAAGACCUGGUAAGGUUCUUCGCGUUGCUUCGAAUUAAACCACAUGCUCCACCGCUUGUGCGGGUCCCCGUCAAUUCUUUUGAGUUUCAGCCUUGCGGCCGUACUCCCCAGGCGGGGUGCUUAAUGCGUUAGCUGCGGCACGGAAAGGGUUGAAGACCUCCCCACACCUAGCACCCAACGUUUACGGCUGGGACUAC